rnacentral:rRNA from 1 species
UACGAAGGGUGCAAACGUUGCUCGGAAUUAUUGGGCGUAAAGCGCACGUAGGCGGCUUAGCAAGUCGGAUGUGAAAUCCCUCGGCUCAACCAAGGAAGUGCAUCCGAAACUGCUGAGCUUGAGUACUUAAGAGGAUCGCGGAAUUCCCGGUGUAGAGGUGAAAUUCGUAGAGAUCCGGAGGAACACCGAAGGCGAAGGCAGUGUCCUGGCGAGUAUCCUGACGCUGAGGAGCGAAAGCGUGGGGAGCGAACAGG